AUCGCUUCUCGGCCUUUUGGCUAAGAUCAAGUGUAGUAUCUGUUCUUAUCAGUGUAGUAAUUCACUUGGUUGAUGUUGAAAAUAAAACUACAAUGAAGUCUUAACUUUCCUUGGUGAGACAGGAUGAAAUUUCUUACAUGGGGUAAAGUUAGUCUUUAAGUAUGAAAUCUUCACUCUAUUUUGCUUAUGACAA